CAGGGGAAGGUUCGUCCGCCCUGGGUUAGUCGGGACCUAAGCUGAGGCCGAAAGGCGUAGGUGAUGGACAACAGGUUGAUAUUCCUGUACUACCGAUAACCGGUUGAGAGAAGGGAUGACACAGUAGGAUAAGCUAAGCACACUGUUGGUUAUGUGUGCCCAAGCAUUGAGGCAGUCAAAGUAGGCAAAUCCGCUUUGAUAAUGC
rnacentral:rRNA from 1 species